rnacentral:rRNA from 1 species
AUUGAACGCUGGCGGAAGGCUUAACACAUGCAAGUCGAGCGAGCGGCGGACGGGUGAGUAAUGUCUGGGAAACUGCCUGAUGGAGGGGGAUAACUACUGGCAACGGUAGCUAAUACCGCAUACCAUCAGAUGUGCCCAGAUGGGAUUAGCUAGUAGGGGGGGUAAUGGCUCACCUAGGCGACGAUCCCUAGCUGGUCUGAGAGGAUGACCAGCCACACUGGAACUGAGCCACGGUCCAGAGUCCUACGUGAGGCAGCGGUGGGGAAUAUUGCACAAUGGGCGCAAGCCUGAGGCAGCCAUGCCGCGUGUGUGAAGAAGGCCUUCGGGUUGUAAAGCACUUUCAGCGAGGAGGCGUUACUCGAAGAGGAAGCACCGGCUAACUCCGUGCCAGCAGCCGCGGUAAUUC